GAAAAAAAGCCUCAUAAGCGCAUGCGGUCUGGCUUUUGUGCAAAUCAGACUGAAGAAAUGUGAAAAAAAAUAUGUGAUGCAAAGUAAUUGCUUUUAAAAAAAAAUAUAGGAUCUAAGGUAGUGCAGUAACAGUAGUUGCGCAGUGUACAUUUUGAGGGGAUUAUAUAAAUAUGAGUUCUUGUCAAAUGGAUCGGGAUUGUGGAAAAGGGCUGAUAUAGACCUACUAGCGCAGCAAUACUCUGUGACCCAUAUUCAGAAACCCCCUCCGCUCUUUGUUCUUUAUGUGUGUAAACUUGUUAUCACAAUGCUUUUCAACCUUAAUACAUUUAGCGAAUAAAACAGUCGCUGAAAUUCACGAAAAGCUUUUGAACAGUUUGACAUAUUGUAGUUUAUGUUCUUAGACUUAAUAACGAUUUUUUUAAAUGUUUCAAUGCCGAGAUAAUUUGUUAGUGACCGCCUGGAUACACGUUGGCAUUAAAUCUGCGGAAUCUGAAUUUUUCGAGGGAUUUAUAAGGAACACAGUGAAAUCACAACAAAUCCUAUAGGUAUUUAUACAAGGAAAACGACACGAAAAGAAUUCGUGACAGUUUCAAUUAUUGCACAUGGGCCUACAACGAGACGAGUUUACGUACCAUUUAUACAGUAUGAAUCCUUAAAGUGUGAAAAAAUGGUUUAUAAAAAAUGAAGAGAAAAGCACUAUGCACUAUCAAUACCAACAGGAGCCCAAAUCCAUCACAACUGCUGACAGAGGGCCGUACCUAGCCACUGUGGCUCCCUAGGCAAGCAUCGACACCAGCAUCCCCUAUCCAAGGCAAACCUAUAUUUGGCUGGCAAGUCAGCAGCCACUCAGUGGUUGGCGCCCUAGGCAGCUGCCUGUGUCACCUGAAGGAUUGACCAUCCCUGCUUAUGCAUUUCAAUGCUGAAGCAGCAGUUUAUGUGCCUGGCAUCACGGAACAUAAAAAUGAAUACUCAUGGGCUUUAUGUAAUGUGCUUCCCAGUAAAAUAAAUUUGAAGCAGAGUAGUUUGAAAUACUUUGUUAUGGAGCAGAGUAGUUUGAAGUACUUUGUUAUGGAUAUCUGUGUAGAUUUGUUGCAUUGUUAUAGCAGCAUAAAUGUGAAAUUGGCAAACAACACCUUGUAUAGAUAUACAUAUAACAGUAUGUAGCAUGGUGUUUACAGAAUCAUACCUUUGAGAAAAAGGUUCAGAUGAUGUGGCACACUAAUGAAUUAUUUUAUCAAAUAACCUGAAUCUGAUCAUUUAAACAUGUUACAAACUGAGGUAUAAAUAAUUUAUGACAAAUACAGUGGUUCAGCGCUC